rnacentral:rRNA from 1 species
AGAAUCAACGCUGGCGGCGUGCCUAACACAUGCAAGUCGCACGAGAAAGGGACUUCGGUCCUGAGUACAGUGGCGCACGGGUGAGUAACACGUGAAUUAUCUACCUCCGAGUGGGGAAUAACUGAGAGAAAUCUUAGCUAAUACCGCAUAACACUUACGAGUCAAAGCAGCAAUGCGCUUGGAGAGGAGUUCGCGGCAGAUUAGUUAGUUGGCGGGGUAAUGGCCCACCAAGACGAUGAUCUGUAUCCGGCCUGAGAGGGCGCACGGACACACUGGAACUGAAACACGGUCCAGACUCCUACGGGAGGCAGCAGUGGGGAAUUUUGCGCAAUGGGGGAAACCCUGACGCAGCAACGCCGCGUGGAGGAUGAAAUCCCUUGGGAUGUAAACUCCUUUCGAUAGGGAAGAUAAUGACGGUACCUAUAGAAGAAGCCCCGGCUAACUUCGUGCCAGCAACCGC